UGUCAUCAUUUCUAGAUCAGGUGCUUCCACCAGCUGUAUCACCCCCCACCAAUCCCCACAUGGAGGGCCUCCGCUUUCACACCGGCGGGGCCAGGGGGCUCACUACUUGAGAGGCAGGCUCUUCAGCCGCUGGGCAGCUUGUACCAGGGAGUCCUGCCAGCCACUGAGCCAUGAGCUGCUUUCGGACACUCUUGCUUGUUGCCGGGGGCUCUGCCUCCUGGGGGUGCUCAACUUAGCUCAGGCCCUGUCCCUGUGGAGAUCUGGGGCUCAUGGUUGGCAUCUCCCAGGUGGAGGGAACUGGGGCCUCCCUUGGGCUCAUACCUUUUGGUGGAGCAGUUGUUGGGUCUGUCCACUGGCCUGGGACCCCCAGAGGACAGACUCUGCUGAGGGGAGGAGGCCGUCCGGCCAGGAGGGGGACACAGCCACUAUGGAGGGAGGGCCAGGGGCUGAGGGUGGGGAGCGGGGAGGGUGCCCCCUCAGCUUGGGUGCUGAGACGGCCUCAGAGAAGGUGCCCAGAGGGCUACGACAAAGAAGCAGACAGCAAGAGUCAACCUGGGCUGGGAAGACUGAAGUUGGCCGAGUUCCAGGAGGCAGAACAGCCUGGUUAAGGCCCGGAGCUGGCGGAAGUCUGCGGGGCGGGGGCUGCGGGCACGGAGAGCGGGCAGUGCCGGUGACCACGCGGGGCCUCAGGGGCUGGGUUUUACCCAGAGUGAGAUGGCCUUGGUGGGUCUGAGUGGGGAGAGCAGUUUAUUCCGCUUUAAGCAAAACCUUUUGGUUGUUGGGAGGAGAAGUGCCUGGAGGGGACCGAGGGCAGCUGGGGACCCACUCUGAGGCUGGCAUGGUCGUCCCUGCAGAGCCGAGCACAGUCAGACCAGGCAGGUGGGGCUGCAGGUAGAGACCAAGAGGUGUUUCCGAAGUGAGACCCGCGGACCUCUUGGGAAGGGCAGGGGCCGCUGCUGAGCGGUCCUCCGGUGGGCACCUCCCACCCCAAGCGGUGCCAAGACUAGGACACUACCCGGCACAAGGGCUCCAGCUCUCCCACCCAGGAUAGCCCAGCUGAGUUCUGCCUGGUCAUCGCCCGUGUGGAGGGCAGGAUGUCCCGAAGCUGCCAGCGCCGGGACUGAGGGCCGCAGUGUCCAGGUCAGUCUCCAAAACUCGUAAACUCAGGCUGACAAGGCUGCUCACCAACUUUCUCCAAGGACAGCGGGAAGGACUCCUGGGCCGAGACUGCCCCCAGGGGUUUGGGCAGGUCUCUCUACCCCUCAGGUCCUGUGCUGGUGGGGUGAAGGUGUGAAGGGACCCGGAGGCCGGGGGACCCAGGUGCAGCGCGGCUGCUGGCCUUCGCCUUGAUGGAGGCGGUGGGAGCACCCAGCCCGGGGGCGGUGCUGCAUGGGCACCCAGGCUCCUGCAGGGGGGCAGCCCCACGUGGGCUGUGCGGGUCCGGCUCUGCUCAGAAGCAGGAGCGCUCUCCUCGGGUCAUAAAUCAAGCCACGUCACCCCCAUUUACUGCCUCCAGCGAUGUCCCCGGCACGUAGAACGGUGUCCAUUCCGCAUGUGGACGAGUGCGCCAGCUGAUGGGUGGGUGUGCGGCUGUCUGUUCUCUUGUCUGCUGCCUGUGCCCCUGGAGAACAGGGACUGGCUCUUCUUUCCCACUUGACAGGAUGCUCCGUGGGGGGAUCCAAAACUGGGCCCCUGCAGCCUGGUCCUUCCCUCUGGGCCCAGCCAUCUGGUCGGGAGACAGUCUCUCAGAGUGACACCUGCCGCUGGAGCUGGGGCAGGGACAGAAAGAGAGGAAGCUGGAGGACGGGCAGGUGUGAGCUCCAGUCAGGAGGCUGGGACAUGGGCACGCCUCGGGAGGGCCAUGGAUGCCACCAGGGAUGAAAUCGAGGGAUUUGGGACAUGACUUCUGCGAGGGUGGUUGGUGCCAGGACCCAGUGCUGCUCACCCUGAGAUCAGCCUGUCAAGUGGAAGUUGAAAAUGCUGUGAGCUCGUGGUGCGAGGAGGUGCACGGGAAACAGCUCUGGGUGGAAAUGACAUGGUCCCACAGGAAUGCAGCGGUGGGCUGUCACCUCUCUGGACCCUGAACAACCCAGAUCUGGGAAGAGGGCCAGGCAGCAGCCCAUGGGCUGCAUGGAGCUGCCCUUCACUGUGACGGGGGAAGAAAGGCCUGACAACCCCGCCACAACCCCCUCACUGUUGUAACCUGGGGGCCUGGGGGCCUGCUGAGUGCUUAGAUCCUCAGAUCUGUGGCCUGUGAGUUAGGAGAAUGGGCCAGGUGUGGCCACCUGCUCCCACCUCCAACGUCAUGCCCUUCAUGGUGAUGAUGAAGGCCACCAGUGUCAUCUUCAUUCUUGCCCACUGGAGACUCCCUGUGUGCUAAGGGUCCCCAGGCCCAGCCUGUUUAAUCCUUGGGACAAUUCCAUGAGCUUUGUACUAAAAACCGCCAUUUAACAGAUGAGGAAACUGAGGCCCAGAGAAGCCCAGUGACUGGCCCAAGUCCAACCCCCCUGCCCUCCCUCCUUCUGUUCUCCCCCUUCCCUUCUCCUCCCCUCUCCCUCUCCCCUCUCCCCAUCUCAUUUCUCCCCCUCCCUCUUUUACUAGACAAUUUUUUUUAAUGAGUUCUCAUGGUGUGUAGGCAUGAGCCAGGUGCUGGAAAUACCAAGAUGACCGAGGCCUUCCUGGGCCUCUCCUCAGCUGGUUCCAGACAGGAUGACAAGCAGGUGGGUCCCUAGGCCAACUCGGGCACAUGGCUGGUGGUUCUUUGGAGAACCGUGAGCCAUGGGGCUGAGGCGGAACCUGGCUCAGGAAAGUGUGCUGUAAUCCAUUAGCGAUGUCUGCCCUGCACGAAGGUGCAGGAGCCAGGGGUGACUGUGCUGUCUGCCUGUGAACUCUAGACUAGCAGACCCUCUAAAAUGCAUUCAGGCAGUGCUGUGGGCCUUGCCUGGCCCUCCAAACCAGUUCAGCACCCUUGUCUCCAUUUUCAGAUGAGAAAGCAGAUUCUACUUAAGGUCUUACAGCUCAACUGUGGCAGCUGGGAUCUUAACCCAGGUUCCAAGGAUCCCAGUUUUCUGUGGUAUCAUGCAAUUAUGCCUUGUUCCUCUCUUCCCUUUGGCUGCUAGGGAGCUCAGAAUGGAGCUUUAGGCUUGCUCUCGGGUGCCACAUUGGCCUAGGGUUUGGAGCAUGUGUGUCACCCUCUCCUUUGGGCUGGCUCUCCUCCCUGCUGGGCCUCCCGUGGAGCAGGCCGGACAUAAGUUAUCAACUAUAAAUAAAACCAAGACUUCCGUUCUGGCUCUCACUUUAGUUUCCUGGUGCAUUUUUUUAAGUCCUGGAUCGGGAGGGGGGACCCUCCUAACGGAAGAUGACAUCACCAUCAGCUGGCCCUGGAGGGCAGGCCCCCAACCCCACAGGCCCGCGUGGGCCCUGAAUGCCCCCAUUAUGAGGGGUAACCUCAUUACACAAGUCGCGCCGCACGAUGGAAUUUCAAAUGGGGUUUUGUGGUUUCUGUCCUUCUCAGCAGAGCGCACACAGGCAGCUGCGGUCACCCGGCUUCCUCUGCCGCCGCAGCCCUGGCCCCCGGCCAGCCCAGUGACCACCCGUUCUACCGUGAGUCAGUUUCAUUCUUAACGCUCUGACUCAGGCCCCUUUAAAGGGACAGCCAAGCUGAUUCCUCCCGGGCCGGGAGGCGGUGGACGGAGGUCAGGAGGAAGCCUGGGGAUCUCUGGCCCGCAGCUGGCUCCGGAGCUGGUUAAUAACAGAGAACGACAGGUAGCAGGGAAAAGAAAAGAAGCUGGUGGAUGCUCGGACGUGACCCACAGGGCGUGGCUGGGCAGGAAGGUGCCGGAUGUGGCCACGGAGCCUCAGGUUUGCGGCUCCUCUGGACCAGGAAAAUCAUGCGGACCUCACUGUAGGAGAAAUUUCUUUUGUGUGUUUCUCUUCAUGAGAAAACCUGACCACGUUACUCCCAGAAGAUGUGGCUUUGGUGCAUUGAAGCAAGAAUCCUGGGAUUCCUGGCCGAGGAAUCCUGGGUUUGCGUGCAGUCAGUAACCUGCUGUGUGACCUUGCACAGUCCCUUUGCCUCUCUGGGCCUUCCCUGCUUCAUCGGAAGGGAGGCAGUGUGGUGCAGUGGUUAAGAACAGGGGCUCUGCCCACCAGUCAGAAUGGCCUUCAUUGAGAAGUCUACAAAUAAUAGAUGCUGGCAAGGGCGUGGAGAAAAGGGAGCCCUCCGACACUGCUGGUGAGGAUGUAGUUUGGUGCAGCUAUGAUGGAAAA